GACGAACGCUGACGGCGUGCCUAAUACAUGCAAGUCGAACGAAGCUUUUUUAACUGGUGCUUGCACCGACUUAAACAACUGAGUGGCGAACGGGUGAGUAACACGUGGGUAACCUGCCCCAAAGCGGGGGAUAACAUUUGGAAACAGAUGCUAAUACCGCAUAACCACAGAAACCACAUGGAUUCUGUGUCAAAGAUGGUUUCGGCUAUCACUUUGGGAUGGACCCGCGGCGUAUUAGCUAGUUGGUAAGGUAAUGGCUUACCAAGGCAAUGAUACGUAGCCGAACUGAGAGGUUGAUCGGCCACAUUGGGACUGAGACACGGCCCAAACUCCUACGGGAGGCAGCAGUAGGGAAUCUUCCACAAUGGACGAAAGUCUGAUGGAGCAACGCCGCGUGAGUGAAGAAGGUUUUCGGAUCGUAAAACUCUGUUGUCAGAGAAGAACGUGUGCGAGAGUAACUGUUCGUGCAGUGACGGUAUCUGGCCAGAAAGCCACGGCUAACUACGUGCCAGCCGCCGCAGUAA
rnacentral:rRNA from 1 species